GGGGGAUUGGCGCAAUGGUAGCGCGUUGGUUUUCGGUCCUUCUGAAAGCACACCAAAGGUUGUGGGUUCGAGCCCCAUGUCCCUCG
rfam:Paraphaeosphaeria sporulosa strain AP3s5-JAC2a unplaced genomic scaffold CC84scaffold_7, whole genome shotgun sequence.